rnacentral:rRNA from 1 species
UACGUAAGGUGCGAGCGUUAAUCGGAAUUACUGGGCGUAAAGUGUGCGCAGGCGGCCGAGCAAGUCGAGUGUGAAGGCCCCGGGCUUAACUUGGGAAUUGCGCUCGAAACUACUUGGCUGGAGUGUGGCAGAGGAAGGUGGAAUUCCAGGUGUAGCGGUGAAAUGCGUAGAGAUCUGGAGGAACACCGAUGGCGAAGGCAGCCUUCUGGGCCAACACUGACGCUCAUGCACGAAAGCGUGGGGAGCAAACAGG